rnacentral:rRNA from 1 species
AUACGGAGGCUGCAAGCGUUGUUCGGAAUCACUGGGCGUAAAGGGCGCGCAGGCGGUUUGGUAAGUCAGAUGUGAAAGCCCACGGCUCAACCGUGGAAGUGCAUUUGAAACUGCCAGACUUGAGUACCAGAGGGGAAAGUGGAAUUCCCGGUGUAGAGGUGAAAUUCGUAGAUAUCGGGAGGAAUACCGGUGGCGAAGGCGACUUUCUGGCUAGAUACUGACGCUGAGGCGCGAAAGCGUGGGGAGCAAACAGGAUUAGAAACCCCGGUAGUCC